UACGUAGGGGGCUAGCGUUGUCCGGAUUUAUUGGGCGUAAAGAGCGUGUAGGCGCCAAGUAGGUCCGGUGUGAAAACUCGAGGCUUAACCUCGAGAUGUCAUCGGAAACCAUUUGGCUAGAGUCCGGAAGAGGAAAGUGGAAUUCCUGGUGUAGCGGUGAAAUGCGCAGAUAUCAGGAAGAACACCAAUGGCGAAAGCAGCUUUCU
rnacentral:rRNA from 1 species